rnacentral:rRNA from 1 species
GGGGAAUUUUCCGCAAUGGGCGAAAGCCUGACGGAGCGACGCUGCGUGAAGGAUGACGGCCUGAGGGUUGUAAACUUCUUUUCUCGAAGAAGAAUCAAUGACGGUAUUCGAGGAAUAAGCAUCGGCUAACUCUGUGCCAGCAGCCGCGGUAAGACAGAGGAUGCAAGUGUUAUUCGGAUUGAUUGGGCGUAAAGCGUCUGUAGGCGGUUUAGAAAGUCUUUUGUGAAAUACUUCAGCUCAACUGGAGCUCCGCAAAAGAAACUUCUAGACUUGAGGGAAGUAGAGGUACAGGGAAUUGCCGGUGGAGCGGUGAAAUGCGUAGAUAUCGGAAGGAACACCAAUAUGGCGAAGGCACUGUACUGGGCUUUACCUGACGCUAAGAGACGAAAGCUAAAGGAGUGAUU